rnacentral:rRNA from 1 species
UACGAAGGGGGCUAGCGUUGCUCGGAAUUACUGGGCGUAAAGGGCGCGUAGGCGGACAGUUUAGUCAGAGGUGAAAGCCCAGGGCUCAACCCUGGAAUUGCCUUUGAUACUGACUGUCUUGAGUACGGGAGAGGUGAGUGGAACUCCGAGUGUAGAGGUGAAAUUCGUAGAUAUUCGGAAGAACACCAGUGGCGAAGGCGACUCACUGGCCCGUUACUGACGCUGAGGCGCGAAAGCGUGGGGAGCAAACAGG